GAUGAACGCUAGCGGCAGGCUUAACACAUGCAAGUCGAGGGGUAUAGUAGCAAUACUAGAGACCGGCGCACGGGUGCGUAACGCGUAUGCAAUCUACCUUUCACAGAGGGAUAGCCCAGAGAAAUUUGGAUUAAUACCUCAUAGUAUUAUGAUAGGGCAUCCUAUUAUAAUUAAAGUCACAACGGUGAAAGAUGAGCAUGCGUCCCAUUAGCUAGUUGGUAUGGUAACGGCAUACCAAGGCAACGAUGGGUAGGGGUCCUGAGAGGGAGAUCCCCCACACUGGUACUGAGACACGGACCAGACUCCUACGGGAGGCAGCAGUGAGGAAUAUUGGACAAUGGCGCAAGCCUGAUCCAGCCAUGCCGCGUGCAGGAUGACGGUCCUAUGGAUUGUAAACUGCUUUUGUACGAGAAGAAACACUCCUACGUGUAGGAGCUUGACGGUAUCGUAAGAAUAAGGAUCGGCCAACUCCGUGCCAGCCGCCGCUGUAACAC
rnacentral:rRNA from 1 species